rnacentral:lncRNA from 1 species
GUUUGAUUAACAUGAUCCUUGGCCAUGUUGGUUGUUGGUCUUGGAAUCUAAAAAAUGGUGAAAUGUGGCUCAGCAGUUGUUUCAGCCCAAUGUGUCAAUUUCAUAUUGUAUCCUUCUUCCCAGGCCUUGGAUACAGGAGAUGCCCCAUUACGGCCCUUGGGUGAUGGCUGUCAUGGGCACUGCGUCCUUGGAUGGAGCGUGACUUUCUUUGGGAUGUAUAACACAUAUUCUGUGUAUCUUGUACUCCUUGUCCUUUUCUCCCAUCUUUAAAUUAUAACCUCAGAAAAGUCUAGUGUAAGGUCAGAGGUUUCACAUUUUUCUCUUGGCCUUGCUUCUCUUUAAUAACUGGAAUCCCAGUUCCACCUCCAGGCAAUUGUGUUGCUCCUGCUGAAGACCUCCAGGGAAUGAAAGGCUGUGCAGGGGCUGGGCUGGGCUUGGAGACGGCAUGUUGCAGAGUUAAUUUUAGGAGUUCUUUUCUUAAAUUAAGCAUCUACGCUGGCAUUUUUUUUUUCUGUUUCAGUGAUUGUGACCUGGGUACACCAACCCAGCCUUUGAUCUGUGUAAAGUGAAAACAGGUAUAUGAAUAUACAAACACAACAAAGGCUUGUCUUUGGGGGAAAGCUCUGCUAAAAUGUGCAUGCACCUAAACCAUAAGCGAAACUAUGUAAUUG